rnacentral:rRNA from 1 species
UACGUAGGGUGCAAGCGUUAAUCGGAAUUACUGGGCGUAAAGCGUGCGCAGGCGGUUUUGUAAGUCUGUCGUGAAAUCCCCGGGCUCAACCUGGGAAUUGCGAUGGAGACUGCAAGGCUAGAAUCUGGCAGAGGGGGGUAGAAUUCCACGUGUAGCAGUGAAAUGCGUAGAGAUGUGGAGGAACACCGAUGGCGAAGGCAGCCCCCCUGGGUCAAGAUUGACGCUCAUGCA